UUUUGGAGAAAAAAAAAUUCUUAGUGUUUUUUCAAAAUUAUUUGCCAGUAAACUAUGUGAAAUGCGGGGCGAAACAAACAGAGGCGAUUUGGUGGUGCAAGCAGCACAAUGCUUGAAAAAUGAUUUGUUGCUGGACAACAUUUGACACUUCGACACUACAUUCCAUGGGAUAUUGAUAUUGGACCAACUUAGGCACGACACUCUUCACACAAGACUAAACCCAGCUUAGGCCAUCAGAAAAAAGGUGGAACUUCUGCGAUGGGACCCGGCUCCACGUGACCCGUUUCACGUGUCUUGAGACGAGCGGAUUGCAUCAACACAUACUUCAACCUGUUCUUGUCAGAAUGUUAAAUGUUUUAAAAAUAUAGAAAUGCACACCAA